rnacentral:rRNA from 1 species
CCGACCUUGAAAUACCACCCUUUAAUGUUUGAUGUUCUAACGUGGACCCGUAAUCCGGGUUGCGGACAGUGUCUGGUGGGUAGUUUGACUGGGGCGGUCUCCUCCUAAAGAGUAACGGAGGAGCACGAAGGUUGGCUAAUCCUGGUCGGACAUCAGGAGGUUAGUGCAAUGGCAUAAGCCAGCUUGACUGCGAGCGUGACGGCGCGAGCAGGUGCGAAAGCAGGUCAUAGUGAUCCGGUGGUUCUGAAUGGAAGGGCCAUCGCUCAACGGAUAAAAGGUACUCCGGGGAUAACAGGCUGAUACCGCCCAAGAGUUCAUAUCGACGGCGGUGUUUGGCACCUCGAUGUCGGCUCAUCACAUCCUGGGGCUGAAGUAGGUCCCAAGGGUAUGGCUGUUCGCCAUUUAAAGUGGUACGCGAGCUGGGUUUAGAACGUCGUGAGACAGUUCGGUCCCUAUCUGCCGUGGGCGCUGGAGAACUGAGGGGGGCUGCUCCUAGUACGAGAGGACCGGAGUGGACGCAUCACUGGUGUUCGGGUUGUCAUGCCAAUGGCACUGCCCGGUAGCUAAAUGCGGAAGAGAUAAGUGCUGAAAGCAUCUAAGCACGAAACUUGCCCCGAGAUGAGUUCUCCCUGAGACUUAGAGUCUCCUGAAGGAACGUUGAAGACGACGACGUUGAUAGGCCGGGUGUGUAAGCGCAGCGAUGCGUUGAGCUAACCGGUACUAAUGAACCGUGAGGCUUAACCUUACAACGCCGAAG